GAUUUUAUACUAAUUUUUAGUUAUUAAAUUUUUUUAAAAUUAGUAUAGGGAGUAAUACGCUUUCGUUUUUAGGGUUAUCUAGCUUGAGUUUUUAUUUAAAGGGAAACCCUUUAUUUGAUAUAAUAUUUUCUUAUAUUGGUUUUUAUUUCUUUAAUAGUAAGAAAUUGUGUAAUAACUUAAUUUUAUUUUUUAUAAAGUUUUACUUGUUUUUGUAUUAUAAGUAAAUUAAUAAAUUAGUAGGAUUUUUUUUUGGAUUUUGGAUUUUUUUGGAUUUUUUUGUUAUAAAUUAUUUUAGUUUGCUGAUUUUUUUUUAGACUGGUUAAUAAAAUCUUAGCUAAAAGAUUUUUAGUCACCCCUGCUCUAUGCUCUUUGUAAAUGGCUGUUUAUUAACACUAAGGUAGCAAAAUCAUUAGUUAUUUAAUUAGUAACUUGUAUGAAUGGGGCUUCUAAGAAUAUAUUAUUUUUGUUUUUGAAUUUAUAUAUUUGUUGAAAAUAACAAUAUAUACCUUAAGACUAAAAGACCCUAAAAUUUUUAUAAUUUUAAAAUUAUUUGGUUGGGGUAAUAAAAUAUUUUUAAAUAUAUUUAUCUUUUUAUUUCUAUGAACUUUUAUAUAAAGAUAAAUUGUAAAAUACUUUAGGGAUAACAGCUUAAUUAUUUUUAAGAGAUCUUAUUAAUAAAAUAGUUUUAGACCUCGAUGUUGGAUUGAGAAGACUUUUUGGGGUAG
rnacentral:rRNA from 1 species